GCAAAACAACCAGAUGAAAACUGUGAUGGUGUUGGAUUGUCAGACCGUAAUGUUGCAGCUCAAAGCAGCUUUUCUAGCUCAGUUCAUUCUGACAUUCAGCUAUGAAUCAACACAGCAGAUGGUGAUCCAUGCUGUGGAAGUCUCACAUCUCCUGAUUUAAUGGAGCUGCUUUGCACUUUUUACACUGUUUAUUCACCAACUCUUUAUUUAAUAAAAGUCCCAUCGAGUUUUUAUGAGGAAUGUGAUGUUUUAAUUUCUCUGUUAAUAACUGCAGUCUAAUGGAACAGCUGGAGUUGUAACAUCUGUCCUGAUAUUGAUCAUGAAGUAUUGAUCAGAUUACUUAUGGUCAGCAGUCAUCCCUGAAGUUUUACUUUAAAAUCUUUACUUGUGUUGUGAACUUUAGUAAGAAGCAGAAACGUUAGCGUUGCCAUGGAUACAUGAGUGUUAAAUUCUGUCCAUGUUUCCAUUUUGGGAAAUUCAGUCCAGCAGAUGAGUUUGUUUUUACUGCCAGCUACCAUUCAGUCUGAGAUAUUAAGAAUAAAUAAAUAUGCAUAAUGUGGAAAUGAACAGAUUUUAUUUUUAUUUAUUCCUACAGCUGCUGCAUUUAAAGUUCCAGAAUGUGGAGGAAUUUAGGAUCACAAUCACAGACAACAAAUAUUAUAUGAAAGUCAGGUUGUUGUUGUUUAUCAGCACAAUACAAAAAGAUUCAUGUUAGAAAUAUUCCAGUUAAGACUCUAGAAUAUCAUGAUUUAUGUAAAUUUACCUCAAUAAUAUGAAUGUUCAGGUUAAGAUUGUACAGUGAUAUUUAUUAUGUAAGUUUAGCUGAUUAAAGUUUAUGACUCUGCACUAAAAUAUUAUUUAAACUGACAUCAUUAUUAUAAUAUUUAGGGUCAGACCCUACAGUAUUGAGAUUAAGAAAUCAAAUAUUCUAUAAAAUGUAAAUACACUGAACUCAUUUGGAUGUAUUUAAGUGAGACUCUACAAUAUUAUUUGACACAAAUCUAUCUAAAUCAAAAUUUGAAUCAUUUUUACUCCAAACAUUUACUGGACUGAUUUAAAUAUUAAAAUCACUCCUUUCUAAUCCUCUGCUGUACGUUCAAACCUGAGGCCUUAAAUAGAAACACACAAGUAUCUGAUUGAAGGAACUUCUGCAGAGUCCUGGUUCCAGAACAUGAUGAUAGAAUUAUAGACAAACUUUAACAAAAGCUGCCUGAGAGUUUACAGCUUUUUAUGUUGGAUUUCUUCAGUAAUUUAAUGACAGUUAUCAGCAAAAAUCAAUGUUCAUUUGAUGAACUUCAUUUCUAAAAACAUCCAGAAUUGGAGCUCAUAUCUUUGGCAGCUGUAAAGUUUCUGCUCCUUCAAAGUUCACAACACAAUGAAUGAAUUCCUAAAACACUCUCAAUGCUGGAGAGCGUUUGAUGCUGAAGCAGUGACCAGUUUUUCUGUUUCUUCUCUGGAGAUGCACAAUGAGGGACGUCUGCAGAGACUGAGAAAGAGUCUCACCACAUCCUGACAUGAGGAAAAAGACUUUAUUGAAGACUACAAUGAGAAAAACUAUCAGACAGCAGACGGCUGCAUUCAAGAGAGGAAGACCAUCAAACAUCCACGUCAGCUGAUGGAGGUCCAAGAGUCUCACCAAACAACCUACAGAGUGAAGACCUCGAAUUUUAGGCUGUUAGAUUGUUCCAGAUAAGACAAGUACAAGAUACUUCAGAGCCGUUCUACCACGAGCCUGACAGGAAGAACUCCAACAGCUACUGAAUGUUCCUGUGGUUCCCUCAAGGCUACAGGAGGAGUCCUACGAGGACGAGCCGGUCCACCUGAUGGAGGCCAGUCGCUGCGGUUCAAAGCCAACACGGACUACGUGGACUUCUACUGGACCACACGGAGGCCUUCAAACCGGACCAACAAGUUCACAGACUCCCCGACUCGUGGGUCUGAGGACGCCGCCGAGCCUCGGUCCAGCCGGCCUCCUGUCUGUGGGUGUUUGAGUGCUGAGAGGUUUGUGGAUGCAUGUGAACGUUCUGUGUUGAAACAGCAGCUUUGGACUCACUAACGCCGGGAAAAACCAAGAGCUCCUUUAUUUGUGACUUCCACUAAAAAACUGAUGAAAAUAAGUUUGCCAGGGUUCUGACUGAUAACAG
ensembl:lncRNA